AAAGAGCGUUUGGAUGUUGUGUUGAGGGACAUGGUUUAGCGAGAACCAUUGGUGAAGGGCGAAUGGUUGGACUGGAUGAUCCUGUGGGUCUUUUCCAACCUUACUGAUUCUAUGAUUCUAUGAUUCUAUCUCUACCACUAGAGACAAAUAAAUACCUCUGCCAUGUGCAAAAAUGGCACAGAGGACAGAGCUAAGCAGGAUCGCUUUGGAAAACUGCAGAGGAUGUCACAGGUUAACAUGAUAAAAGAGAAAUGGCUGCUUAAGGGUUAGCUCUGACACUGUAUCCUUGAUCUGUGUUUGCUGUUACUGUUUUUCAUUACCUUUGGAUUUAUUCUUCUUUCUCUGUAUCACACACAUCAAGAAAAUUAGCAAAUGAUUCAUGAAAGGUUUAUUGGGAUUAGUUAUGUAAUUGAAGCAUCUACAUGUUGGAACGUAUUUGACCAUAAGGAAUGAAUUAAUGCCUUGGAGUAAUCCAGCAACCAGGCAUCAGUCUGCACACCCUCCCCCAUUUCUGCAAUCAAAUCCAUUUAGUAUAUAUCAGAAAAAUAAUUACAUGUUACAUAAGACUAAUAAUUGCAACUUUCGACCAUCUCAUAAACAGGCAUAUGAAAAUGACCUCUAGUAAAUGUGUAACUUCAUCUGUGACAGAAGCCCAAAUGUAGCAAAAGUUAGAAGGCACUGAGUACAGGUUUGACAGUUACAGGUAGUUGUAUCUGUAAGGCCUGGUAACAAAAUGGGCUUUAACUAUUUUUUUUUAUUAUUAUUAUUAUUUUAACCAACUUGCUACAGAUAUUGCAACAUCACCAGAAGAAUCUCCCUUACUGUCCUCAUCCAUUUACAGUCAGAAUUAUUCUCCAUUAUUCUGAUACUCUCCUUGGAGGGGGGAUAUUCAAACCAUUCUUAGAAGUUAUCAACAGUGAUAAAAUCACCUUUAAAAGAUACACAUCAUCCUUUUACCAUGAAGGUAAGAAAAGGUAUACAAUAAAUACCCGUACAACAUGGACAGCAGCCAAAACGGUGACACAGUUCUGCUUCAGAUGGCACAGUGCAACACUGUUUUACUCCUGACAGCAUUAAGAAAAACCUGGGUACUCUGAUCUGCAGCCUAUAAACGCGUACAAGCACAUGGGGUGUACCAGCACACACUACCAUGCAAUGUAUGGGCACCAUCCAAGGCCCCAUCCCGGUGCUGCCUGGAGCUGCCCAGCUGGAGCACGGUGCAGGAGCACUGCGACUACUGCUGAGGAACGUGGCAGGAAUGUGAGGACAACUUUCUCAUGGAUUUCUCCAGUGCAAGCUGAGGCAGUGUCAUUUGUAAUUUACUGGAACCUUCUGCAUGAUUCAUGCUUAAAUUCAUUCUAUUUUUAUCAUUAAGGCCCGUGCUUCUGAUCUGUGAUAAAGAGACCUUUAAAUCAAGGGGUUCUUAAGGGAUUUUCAUGGUUCCUUCACCAACGGGAUUACAUCUUCUGUAUGGGAAGGAUUUGUCAGAAGUCGGUGUGGGAAAGCAGCCUACCUGUUGCAGUGACUGACAGUCCCACUGUGGGAGCUGGCAAUGGGGCUGGGCGCAGGCCUCAGCCUGCUGGAGGUACUGCUGGGAAAGGAAAGGGCAGAAGGGCUCCCAAACACACGUCCUCAUCAGCCAAAGGGACGAAGCGAGUGCAGCGUUCUCCCUUUCCAGCCUAUUUCCCAGCACAAUUCCUGCCCUUUUCAGAACAGGACAUUCCAUGCAAUAAUUGUGCCGCUCACUUGUGUGGAGUGGGGAGUAGGGGCGUGGAAACAGGUUUGGUGUGCAGCUGAGGUUGGAAACGGGCCUCAUUGGAUUAGUGUCAUUUACCUCAGCUCCUGCUGUAAUUGCUCCCAUUGCUGGCCAGCCAUACCCAGAAGACUGAAGGAAAUUUUGAUUCUGCAUUCAAUUAUGGGGCUUAAUUGCUCUGCAAAGUACUACGCAUUGUUACCAAUACACCAGAGUGGAUUUACCCUCACAUGCUUGCCUAUCAUAAAGAAGAUUGCAUUCCAAAGGAAGCAAUCUCCUUAGCCUAGCAUAAGAGGCUUUAGGAGAUCUUUGGCUUGAAUGAAAACGCCUUCUUCUUGGAGCCAAGCCUACAUCCCUGGGAAUAAUGUCCACCAGGGCUCUGUGCAAACAUCUAAGGGCAGAACCACGUCCUUUGUCUGAUCUGGAGGCUACUCUAGAUGCAAUGCUGGAAUGCUGCUCCUGCCUUACCAAAAAAAGAAAAGCAUAUCCAAAAGCUCUACUUGCCAAAUGAAAUUACUGUUUGUUGGCAGAGAGAAAAACUGGACCAUGGUUUUCUUUGUCUCCAGAAAAAGUUCAGUGCUAGGACUUCAAAAGAAAAUGCCACGAGCAACACUUCAGCAGCAAAAAGGCCAUCAGCAAUGUCCAUCCAGUAUUGCCAGCAGUGUUGCUGGCCAGCAGUGAUAGAAUGAAAUACAGUAGUUCAGUCCUCUGAUUUUGUAGCAAGGCUGUAAAAAAUAUUUCCUCCUACGUUUUCUAAAUAAGUGCUUCUUACAAGAACUGGGGGGGGCGGGGAAGGGAGGGGAUGUCUGCAUAUCCCAGCAUGACUUUUUGCACUUCACAUAGCUUUGUGAUGUUGUCUUGGAGUUGACAAAAUAUUUUCAACAUUUCAAGUUCGUACCUUAUUAUACUUCACCCUUCCCCUCGGUUUCAGUGCCAUUCACAGCUCAUUAGAUGACCUUAUCAGUGUAUUUGCAUUUAAUCAAGGGAAAUAGGGAAAUUCAGAGAAGCUUGCGCUAUGGGAUUCCCCCCACUUAUUGACUUACUUAGGAUUUUCCAUCUUAAGAGACGGACAUUAACUUGGACUGUAACUAAACGUGAAUUUUUAAUUUCCUAGGGGAAUUUUUUUGGAAAGUUUGUCUGCUGAACUGAAACUGUUUACAGCUCUUGUUAUUCCAAGAGUCCAACGUGAUCUACUCAGUUACUUUCUCUUUAGCCAAUCCUAUUAGCUCAGCAGCUACUUCUGAAACUCACAGUAAAAAAUUUACCUUUUAAACUGACACUAUUCUUAGUAAAUGGCAUUGAACACACAGGACAAGUAUUUAGCUUCGUCCAACGUCACAGCGCCUUGUAUGUGUGUAGGGAAAUCCAGCUGUGAAAACAAGCUGAGAAGCUUAUAAUCUUUGGGAAAAAGUAUAAUAAACUCAAAGUAGAAUACACACAUUUCUAUUUCAAAAGUACCUAUAGCCUUUUAAAUCGUCCCUAUUACUUCAGUGCCUACAGACCAAGCAAGGAUGGGAUGCCAAAUUUGUUAGCUCACACCAAAAUCGACAAAGGGCUGCUUGUGCUCAUGCCUUCCCCCGCGCCCGUGGACGUUGAUCGCUUAUUGUGCGAGGUCACACAGACGUCGGUGGGAAAGACUGCACACAACUCCUUGGAAAGAGGAUUCGCGAGAAGCAAACGAGACCACUGUAGCACCAAGUUCGUUUGGUUUAAACUGCUGUGAAACUGCAGCAGGAGGAGCGGUUCUCCUGCUGGGAGGUGCAGCUCCUGUAUUGAGAGUUUAAACCUGCCUUAACCUCGCAGCCCAGUGAAGGGACUACGUGGAGCUCCCGCGGUCUCACCCAUCCGCAGCGCCAGCACUAAUGAGGUAAGCUAGUCAGCCAGCCGGACUGCCUCGUCCUGGAACCAAGUGGAGCCUACAUGACACGACGGCUAUCAGCGCAAAAGAAAAAAGAACGAUCUCCCUGAAGCGUUUGCACAAGGUCAAAGCAACACCAGCUGGAGCGGAAGAGAGGGAAGGACCGGGUACGUGACAGCACGGGCAGAAAGGCAUCGCCUGUCCCAACGGCAGCUUGCACCGCAGUGUAACGCGAUGCCUCCAGUAUCAGGGCGACGGCAGGCCGACGCCACCCUUCACUGUCAUUGAAAGGGGCUGCCGAGUCCUCUGCUUCUUGCCCUUGGGAUCUGAGCCGGCUCACCGCUACCAACGGCACUCAGGCAGCUAACGCAGGAGCUGCCACAGGGCACAGCCGCGUCCGAGCGCGGCAGCUGCGUGAGGAGGGGAGCCGCCGUCCG
ensembl:lncRNA